UACGUAGGUGGCAAGCGUUAUCCGGAUUUAUUGGGCGUAAAGGGAACCCAGGCGGUCUUUUAAGUCUGAUGUGAAAGCCUUCGGCUUAACCGGAGUAGUGCAUUGGAAACUGGGAGACUUGAGUGCAGAAGAGGAGAGUGGAACUCCAUGUGUAGCGGUGAAAUGCGUAGAUAUAUGGAAGAACACCAGUGGCGAAAGCGGCUCUCUGGUCUGUAACUGACGCUGAGGUUCGAAAGCGUGGGUAGCAAACAGG
rnacentral:rRNA from 1 species